UCUUAUAAAGAGAGGCUGAGGGAAGUGCCCUAUGAAGCCCGGCAACCGUCACUUAUGUGAAAUGGUGCCAAAUCACGCAAAGCAUAUGCUUUGAGAGAUGAGA
rnacentral:ncRNA from 1 species